UACAGAGGGUGCGAGCGUUAAUCGGAAUUACUGGGCGUAAAGCGUGCGUAGACGGUUAUUUAAGUCGGAUGUGAAAGCCCCGGGCUCAACCUGGGAAUUGCAUUCGAGACUGAAUAGCUAGGGUGCGGUAGAGGGAAGCGGAAUUUCCGGUGUAGCGGUGAAAUGCGUAGAUAUCGGAAGGAACACCAGUGGCGAAGGCGGCUUCCUGGCCUGUUCUUGACGCUGAGGCGCGAAAGCUAGGGGAGCAAACGGG
rnacentral:rRNA from 1 species